rnacentral:rRNA from 1 species
AACCGCAAAGGGCYUCAGUAAACCAGUUUUUUAAUUUUACUAGGAGUUUGUUACGUUUUCGUAACGUGGAAUACCCUGUGGUUAAUUCUUAGAGCUAAUACAUGCAACUAAGUCCCGGACCCAGAAAAUGGAAAAGGACGCUUUUUAUUUAGAUCAAAAAUUCAUUUCGCCCGGACUUGUUUUGGGCGUUGUUUUUGGUGAAUCUUAGAUUAACACACCCAGAUUCGUACAGUCUUUUGUACUGACGACAUCUCUUUCAAACGCCUGACUUAUCAGCUGUCGAUGGUAGACUCUGUGUCUACCAUGGCCCUCACGGGUAACGGGGAAUCAGGGUUCGAUUCCGGAGAGGGAGCCUGAGAAACGGCUACCACAUCCAAGGAAGGCAGCAGGCACGCAAAUUACCCACUCCCGGCACGGGGAGGUAGUGACAAAAAAUAACGAUACGGGACUCUAUUGAGGCCCCGUAAUCGGAAUGAGUACACUUUAAAUUCUUUAACAAGGAUCCAUUGGAGGGCAAGUCUGGUGCCAGCAGCCGCGGUAAUUCCAGCUCCAAUAGCGUAUAUUAAAGUUGUUGCGGUUAAAAAGCUCGUAGUUGGUUCUGCGUGCCGCGCUGUCGGUUCGCCGCCUGUCGGUGUAACUGGCAUGUCGCGGCAUGUCCUGUCGGUGGUGAACGAAGUCCGCCGGUACAUGCUGAAGCGUAAGCCGAAGUAUUGUGUCGUGCGAUUUCGUUUGCCGAUCUCUCCUACUCCGGUGCUCUUAAACGAGUGUCGAGGUAGGCCGACACGUUCACUUUGAACAAAUUAGAGUGCUUAAAGCAGGCUGAAAUAUCUGCCUGAAUAGUGGUGCAUGGAAUGAUAAAAUAGGACCUCGGUUCUAUUUUGUUGGUUUUAGGAAUAUGAGGUAAUGAUCAAAUGUGGACUGGCGGGGGCAUUCGUAUUGCGACGUUAGAGGUGAAAUUCUUGAUCUCCAACC